rnacentral:lncRNA from 1 species
UCGUUUUGUCUCUUUUUUACUAGUACAAAAUUUCAUUUGGUAAAAGAGAUAAAUAUAUAUUUGUUAUUUCUAGUUAUGGCAACAUUUUGUGAUGACGUCACAACAGCUGUAGGUACGUGCCAUUUUUCGCCAUUUUAUGCGCUGUGUUUUGUGGUACUUCUGCUGUCAAGUAGCUGUUUAUGAGAUCGUAUUUUGUGUUUUGCGGAUAAAUUACGAGGAUUUGAUUUGCUAAAUCGAAGUUGAAGUUGAAAAAAGUGUUAUUCAACAUGUCCGUGUAUUGUAUUGUACAGUGUGGAGCCAGAAAGGACAGAAAUCAACCGUAUUUGUCACUUCAUAGGCCAUCUUUCAAUCCAAAAUUGUCGACUGGAUUUACUGAAACAGGUGAUAUUGGAAAACUAAUCCACAGCUGCAACGUCGUCUGUGCUGCCAUUGCCCGUACGUCUGUCUCAUAAGUCAGUACAUGAAAAGUCUGUUCAAGAAGACGCGAUGAAAAAAUUAAAAGAUAGCCAAUUUGAAGAAUAUUAUGGAAGAUCUGCAGAAUAAAAAUCAAAUAAUAAAGGGCAAAGUGUAUUGAUGGAAGAAUUGGCAGGACCGCAAGACUUUUUGAAA